GAUUGCCCUAGUAACGGCGAGUGAAGCGGCAACAGCUCAAAUUUUAAAUCUGGCGCCUCUGGCGUCCGAGUUGUAAUUUGCAGAGGGUGUUCAGGCAUUGGGCCCAGGCUAGGUUCCUUGGAACAGGACGUCACAGAGGGUGAGAACCCCGUCUUCGCUUGGGAUUCCCUUGCCGUGUUGAACCCCUUCGACGAGUCGAGUUGUUUGGGAAUGCAGCUCUAAGUGGGAGGUAAAUUUCUUCUAAAGCUAAAUACCGGCCAAAGACCGAUAGCGCACAAGUAGAGUGAUCGAAAGAUGAAAAGCACUUUGGAAAGAGAGUUAAAAAGCACGUGAAAUUGUUGAAAGGGAAGCUCUUGCAGCCAGACUUGGCCGUAGGCGUUCAGCGGCCCUUCUGGGCCGUGCACUCCCCUACGGACAGGCCAGCGUCAGUUUCGKGGGCCGGACAAACACCGGAGGAAUGUGGCUUCGCCUCGGCGGAGUGUUAUAGCCUCCGGCAGCAUGCGGCCACCCGGGACUGAGGACCGCGCUCUGCUAGGAUGCUGGCGUA
rnacentral:rRNA from 1 species